GACGCUUUAGCUCAGUGGGAGAGCGAGCGAGUGAAGCGUACAACGCCCAGUUCGUUCGGUCGUGUGUUCAAUCCACACAAGCGUCA
rnacentral:tRNA from 1 species